CAGGUUAGAGCCGGCUGGGGAGGCACCUCAUUGUUGAGGAUUAGUUAUGUUCGAUUCAUAAUAACUUGA
rnacentral:tRNA from 1 species